CGGUGGAUGAUGUGGUUUAAUUCGAUGCAACGCGAAAACCUUACCUACCUUUGACAUGUACGGAAUUCGCCAAGAGAUGGCUUAGUGCUCGAAAGAGAACCGUAACACAGGUGCUGCAUGGCUGUCGUCAGCUCGUGUCGUGAGAUGUUGGGUUAAGUCCCGCAACGAGCGCAACCCUUGUCAUUAGUUGCUACAUUUAGUUGGGCACUCUAAUGAGACUGCCGGUGACAAACCGGAGGAAAGGUGAGGAUGAUGUCAAGUCAGCAUGACCUUUAUAUCCAGGGCUACACACACGCUACAAUGGUCUGUACAAUGGGUAGCCAAGCCGCGAGGCGGAGCCAAUCCUGAAAGCAGGCCUCAGUUCAGAUUGCAGUCUGCAACUCGACUGCAUGAAGCCGGAGUUGCUAGUAACCGCAGGUCAGCAAUACUGCGGUGAAUACGUUCCCGGGUCUU
rnacentral:rRNA from 1 species